AUACGAGGGGUGCAAGCGUUGUUCGGAAUUACUGGGCGUAAAGGGAGCGUAGGCGGAGAUUCAAGCGGAUUGUACAAUCCCGGGGCCCAACCCCGGCUCUGCAGUCCGAACUGGAUCUCCUGGAUAGUUCAGGGGCAGGCGGAAUUCCUGGUGUAGCGGUGGAAUGCGUAGAGAUCAGGAAGAACACCGAUGGCGAAGGCAGCCUGCUGGGGACUUAUCGACGCUGAGGCUCGAAAGUGCGGGUAGCAAACAGGAUUAGAUACCCUGGUAGUCCGCACCGUAAACGAUGCAUACUGGGUGUCCGGGGGUUCCCCCGGGUACCGUAGCCAACGCGUUAAGUAUGCCGCCUGGGGAGUACGUACGCAAGUAUGAAACUCAAAUGAAUUGACGGGG
rnacentral:rRNA from 1 species